CAGUAGCCGCGGGAAUACGUAGGUCCCGAGCGUUGUCCGGAUUUAUUGGGCGUAAAGCGAGCGCAGGCGGUUAGAUAAGUCUGAAGUUAAAGGCUGUGGCUUAACCAUAGUACGCUUUGGAAACUGUUUAACUUGAGUGCAAGAGGGGAGAGUGGAAUUCCAUGUGUAGCGGUGAAAUGCGUAGAUAUAUGGAGGAACACCGGUGGCGAAAGCGGCUCUCUGGCUUGUAACUGACGCUGAGGCUCGAAAGCGUGGGGAGCAAACAGGAUUAGAUACCCCGUAGUCCCUGUCUCUUAUACAC
rnacentral:rRNA from 1 species